rnacentral:piRNA from 1 species
UCACAGGUGGUCCUGAGUCUGAUUCCUUGC